GCCGGGUGCGGGGGGUGGUGCACGCCUGUCAUCCCUGCAGCUCGGGAGGCUGAGGCAGGAGGAUCGCAAGGUGGAGGCCGGCCUCGGCCAAAGCGAGGCCCUAAGCCAGUCAGCGAGACCCUGUCUCUC
rnacentral:sRNA from 1 species